rnacentral:rRNA from 1 species
AGAGUUUGAUCAUGGCUCAGAGUGAACGCUGGCGGCAGGCCUAAUACAUGCAAGUCGAACGGCAGCACAGCAGAGCUUGCUCUGUGGGUGGCGAGUGGCGGACGGGUGAGGAAUACGUGGGAAUCUGCCCAGUCGUGGGGGAUAACGUAGGGAAACUUACGCUAAUACCGCAUGCGCCCUUCGGGGGAAAGCCGGGGACCUUCGGGCCUGGCGCGAUUGGAUGAGCCCACGUCGGAUUAGCUAGUUGGCGGGGUAAAGGCCCACCAAGGCGACGAUCCGUAGCUGGUCUGAGAGGAUGAUCAGCCACACUGGAACUGAGACACGGUCCAGACUCCUACGGGAGGCAGCAGUAGGGAAUAUUGGGCAAUGGGCGCAAGCCUGAUCCAGCCAUGCCGCGUGAGUGAAGAAGGCCCUCGGGUUGUAAAGCUCUUUUGUCCGGAAAGAAAAGCGCCGGGUUAAUACCCUGGUGUCCUGACGGUACCGGAAGAAUAAGCACCGGCUAACUUCGUG